rnacentral:rRNA from 1 species
UACGUAGGGUGCGAGCGUUAAUCGGAAUUACUGGGCGUAAAGCGUGCGCAGGCGGUUUUGUAAGCCAGAUGUGAAAGCCCCGGGCUCAACCUGGGAAUGGCAUUUGGGACUGCAAGGCUGGAGUAUGGCAGAGGAGACUAGAAUUCCUGGUGUAGCAGUGAAAUGCGUAGAUAUCAGGAGGAAUACCGAUGGCGAAGGCAGGUCUCUGGGCUGACACUGACGCUCAUGCACGAAAGCGUGGGGAGCAAACAGG